UACAGAGGUCCCAAGCGUUGUUCGGAUUCACUGGGCUUAAAGCGUGUGUAGGCGGAUCGUUAAGUGUCUUGUGAAAUCCCACGGCUCACCCGUGGAACUGCUGGGCAUACUGGCGAUCUUGGGCCAACUAGGGGCAACUGGAACAAGCGGUGGAGCGGUGAAAUGCGUAGAUAUCGCUUGGAACGCCAAAGGUGAAAACAGGUUGCUGGGGUUGUGCCGACGCUGAGACACGAAAGCCAGGGGAGCAAACGGG
rnacentral:rRNA from 1 species